rnacentral:rRNA from 1 species
AUUGAACGCUGGCGGCAGGCUUAACACAUGCAAGUCGAGCGGAGAGAGGUAGCUUGCUACUGAUCUUAGCGGCGGACGGGUGAGUAAUGCUUAGGAAUCUGCCUAUUAGCGGGGGACAAGAUUUCGAAAGGAAUGCUAAUACCGCAUACGUCCUACGGGAGAAAGAAGGGGAUCUUCGGACCUUGCGCUAAUAGAUGAGCCUAAGUCGGAUUAGCUAGUUGGGGGGGUAAAGGCCUACCAAGGCGACGAUCUGUAGCGGGUCUGAGAGGAUGAUCCGCCACACUGGGACUGAGACACGGCCCAGACUCCUACGGGAGGCAGCAGUGGGGAAUAUUGGACAAUGGGCGCAAGCCUGAUCCAGCCAUGCCGCGUGUGUGAAGAAGGCCUUAUGGUUGUAAAGCACUUUAAGCGAGGAGGAGGCUACUUUAGUUAAUACCUAGAGAUAGUGGACGUUACUCGCAGAAUAAGCACCGGCUAACUCUGUGCCAGCCGCCGCGGUAACAC